UACGUAGGGUGCAAGCGUUAAUCGGAAUUACUGGGCGUAAAGCGUGCGCAGGCGGCUUUGUAAGUCUGUCGUGAAAUCCCCGGGCUCAACCUGGGAAUGGCGAUGGAGACUGCAAGGCUAGAGUUUGGCAGAGGGGGGUAGAAUUCCACGUGUAGCAGUGAAAUGCGUAGAUAUGUGGAGGAACACCGAUGGCGAAGGCAGCCCCCUGGGUCAAAACUGACGCUCAUGCACGAAAGCGUGGGGAGCAAACAGG
rnacentral:rRNA from 1 species